GGGCUCAUAGGUAAACGGUAUACCGGUACAUUCGCAUUGUACAGUUUCGGGUUCAAUUCCCGGUGAGUCCA
rfam:Candidatus Daviesbacteria bacterium RIFCSPHIGHO2_01_FTLL_41_23 rifcsphigho2_01_scaffold_4146, whole genome shotgun sequence.